AAGGCGAAAAGAACCCCGGCGAGGGGAGUGAAAAAGAACCUGAAACCGUGUACGUACAAGCAGUGGGAGCACAGAGCAAUCUGUGUGACUGCGUACCUUUUGUAUAAUGGGUCAGCGACUUAUAUUCUGUAGCAAGGUUAACCGAAUAGGGGAGCCGAAGGGAAACCGAGUCUUAACUGGGCGUUAAGUUGCAGGGUAUAGACCCGAAACCCGGUGAUCUAGCCAUGGGCAGGUUGAAGGUUGGGUAACACUAACUGGAGGACCGAACCGACUAAUGUUGAAAAAUUAGCGGAUGACUUGUGGCUGGGGGUGAAAGGCCAAUCAAACCGGGAGAUAGCUGGUUCUCCCCGAAAGCUAUUUAGGUAGCGCCUCGUGAAUUCAUCUCCGGGGGUAGAGCACUGUUUCGGCAAGGGGGUCAUCCCGACUUACCAACCCGAUGCAAACUGCGAAUACCGGAGAAUGUUAUCACGGGAGACACACGGCGGGUGCUAACGUCCGUCGUGAAGAGGGAAACAACCCAGACCGCCAGCUAAGGUCCCAAAGUCAUGGUUAAGUGGGAAACGAUGUGGGAAGGCCCAGACAGCCAGGAUGUUGGCUUAGAAGCAGCCAUCAUUUAAAGAAAGCGUAAUAGCUCACUGGUCGAGUCGGCCUGCGCGGAAGAUGUAACGGGGCUAAACCAUGCAC
rnacentral:rRNA from 1 species